ACGGGAGGCAGCAGUAAGGGAUAUUGGGCAAUGGGGGGAACCCUGACCCAGCCAUGCCGCGUGAGGGAAUGAGGCCCUACGGGUCGUGAACCUCUUUUGCCUGGGGAUAACCUGCCCCGCGGGACGGGGCACUGCAGGUACCGGGCGAAUAAGCAUCGGCUAACUCCGUGCCAGCAGCCGCGGUAAUACGGAGGAUGCGAGCGUUAUCCGGAUUCAUUGGGUUUAAAGGGUGCGCAGGCGGCGUGUUAAGUCAGCGGUGAAAGUCAGGGGCCCAACCCCGGAAGUGCCGUUGAUACUGGCGCGCUGGAAUGCGGUCGAGGCGGGCGGAAUGUGGCGUGUAGCGGUGAAAUGCAUAGAUAUGCCACAGAACCCCGAUAGCGAAGGCAGCUCGCCAGUCCUGCAUUGACGCUCGGGCACGAAAGCGUGGGGAUCGAACAGGAUUAGAUACCCUGGUA
rnacentral:rRNA from 1 species